UCAAUAAGUGAAUCACUCUUAGGUAAUUUUCCGUUGUUUCAUUUCGGGAUUUCUCAUUAACUAUUUAUAUUGAACUUUGUGUUCUAUACAACCUGCUUUUUUUAUUGCUGUAUUUGCCACCAAAGAGUUUAUGGGCGUCCAACCAGGUAAUGCUGGUGAUGGGAAGCUGCCAGCAAUUGAGGUUUCCUCUGGGCCAGUAGAGUCUAAAAGUUCAAGCCUUGUAGAUGCAGUACUUUGUUUUGUUGUAAAUUCUGACAGUCAUAUCAAUAACAAACCCUUUGUGCUUCUUAAUGUACUCAACUUUUUAAAGGCAUUGUGGCAAAGGGCGGCUCAAUAUAUCAAUAUAUUGGCUAGGUUGAAAAGCUUUGAGAAGUUCUGGAAGCAAUUGUCAAAAUGCAUUUCACUAACUUCUCUGGAUUCUUUGCCUGAUAGCCUGACUGAGAUGGAAGCUCUAAAUCUGGCAUACAAAUAUCAGUGUCAAUCUUCCAUAAUGGAAAUAAUGGCAUAUGACAUGUUUUUGCAAAAUAAAUUGUCACGGGUGGAGUCACUAGAAAAACCAGCACCCGAGUCAAAGGGAAGGGUGGAAAAUUCAGGAGGCAUUGAUAAAACAAAAGCUGCAAAUCUAUAUGAUCAUAGAGAUGUUUUAUCAACGUGAUGUCAGGGCUCUGUUUUGGUCAAUCUGAUCAAGUCACUUACUACUUAUGAAUAUGAUAACAAAUCAUUUUAUCAUGGAGAGGUUUCUGCCAGUUUAGUCACGGUGUAUUUAAUUGAGAAAUUAGCUACUGGUGAUACUAGAAGUUUAUCUGUAUCAAUACUUCAGAAGAUGAGCACCAUGUCUAAAAAGUGCCACUUGGCCCAAGUUGGGUCAACACCAUAAGAGAGAAUGAGUGGACCCAGAUCUACUUUAUGUAUGUGAAGGGAAGGAACUAAAUAAUUUGAUACUAAGUGAUCUUUAUUAUCAUCUAGAAGGAGAGCUUGAAGGUUGUAAAAUAAGCACUGGACCAUUUAAAGAACUUUCUGAAUACCUGGUUGAUUCAAAAGUUAUGCACAAUUACCAACAUAAGUAUGACAAUGACUUUCUUGUAACUUGCAAAGAUGUGUACCUGUUUGAUCCUGAGCGUGUAUGGGCUGAUUUGGGAUCUGAUCUUUGGGACUAUCUAAAGUGGAAAACAUCUAAAGAGAUCACAAAAAGAAUGCUAUCUCAUAUGAUGGAGGCAAACUCUAUGGUGUUGCUUAGAAAUUCAAAGCUUGCUGCAUUGAAAUCCUUAAUAAUUGUCUUAACUAUCCAUGAGAAAGAUGUGAGUUAUCAGACUCUGAUUGCCUUCUGUUGCAUGCCUAAAGUGAAGUUUAGGGUCUGCAGCUGCUUUUCUUUAGUUGCAUUUUGAAAGUUAAAAAUUUAGGUUAUUUGGUGUGAAAAUAAUACGUGUAGUCUAUUCAUAAUCUGCCAGAGUUUGUAGUAACUAAAAGUCUUUUCAUAUUUCUUUGCAUUGGGUUGAGGAUUCUACAGUAAUUUCUGUACAUUUGUAAACACUACACAGUACUAUAUCAGCGUAAUUGACUGUGAAUAAGUAUCACUGUUUUGUAAUUACUUGUUAGUGCCCAAAUAACUUAAGGUCUAGAGUUUAUUACAUGUUUGAGCUCCAUAUUCUA